rnacentral:rRNA from 1 species
UACGUAGGGGGCAAGCGUUGUCCGGAAUCAUUGGGCGUAAAGAGCGUGUAGGCGGCCUGGUAAGUCCGCUGCGAAAGUCCAGGGCUCAACCCUGGAAUGCCGGUGGAAACUGUCAGGCUCGAGUCCGGAAGAGGCGAGUGGAAUUCCUGGUGUAGCGGUGAAAUGCGCAGAUAUCAGGAGGAACACCAAUGGCGAAGGCAGCUCGCUGGGACGGUACUGACGCUGAGACGCGAAAGCGUGGGAAGCAAACAGG